CUCUAUAAUCAUAUACCUAUGGACAUGGAUGACAUUGCUCAUACUCCUUAAGUAGUAUUCUUCUAUCUCGAGUUAAAAAGCGUUCUUACCGUUGUCCCUGAAGUAAUAUGAGUACUACUCCUUUGUGAAAAAGUCCGAGAAUUUUCUUCUCUAAAUAUGUGAAAAUGUAAUAUGCAGGAAAACCAUCUUCUUCUAACUUUUCAACAUUGGAAGCAUAAGCAUCUGCUCUACAGAUUUCAUGAACCUCUACCACAAAGAUGGAUAUGAGAGAUCAAUACACUACACCAAAUGGUCUUUAACCAAUGAAAUCUAGCUAUCUAAAAUAAAGAGACAUGAAUUACAACCCAAGCGUGGAUUAACAUGGAUAAGAAUUUUGAGCACAAGCUCCUAAUUGUACUGGUAUACUAAUCAUACGCCUGUGUAAAAUGCAAAUCCAAACCAGUAGACAACCGUGGCGUAGCAUGAACAUCACCUGCACAUAUUUUUGUUGGGAGAGGAUAUGAGUUUCUUUUGUUGAGACGACACGAGGACAUUGAUGCAAUUUAUAGGUAGUAUAACUGAGCAUGUUGCUGAAGAAGAUGUUGCUGCCGGAGUAAGAUGUGCAUAGACAGCCACGGAGAGAAGCAUUAUAUAGUAACUGCGAGGUUUGCGACUUUACCAGGCAUUAAGCAAAUGAAUGAUAAUAGGCCUGAAUGAAUGAUAAUAGGUCAUAAUCGCGAGCUUGAAGGGGGGCAAAGCAGUUUCCAGCGAAAGAAUGCCAUGAUUGCGAGCUUGAAGGGGAGGAGAGAACUUACCAGUACAUGAGGCGUCUACCAUUUAAUCCCGCUCCUCUGAUUGGUGGGAUCGACCGGAUGUACUCGGCUCCUGCAUCCCGCUCCUCCUAUCGCUCGGAUCGACUCGAUCCCAUCCCAGACCUCAGGUGGACGGACGCACACAAGCACCUUUACUAGAUGGAACCGGCCGCCCCUCUCUGCGGCUCGAUUCUGGAGGGGAAUCGAUGCAGUCCCGUCGCCCUCAGCCUGGAUCGGGACUCGAUUAGUCCCUUCCCCUCAACAUCGAUCUGGAAUCGUUUAUGGUUCGGGAGUGUUUUUUUUCCUUCAGCGG
rnacentral:lncRNA from 1 species